rnacentral:rRNA from 1 species
CCUACGGGAGGCAACAGUGGGGAAUAUUGGACAAUGGGCGAAAGCCUGAUCCAGCCAUGCCGCGUGUGUGAAGAAGGCCUUCGGGUUGUAAAGCACUUUCAGUGGGGAAGAAAGCCUUGGGGCUAAUACCCUCGAGGAAGGACAUCACCCACAGAAGAAGCACCGGCUAACUCCGUGCCAGCAGCCGCGGUAAUACGGAGGGUGCGAGCGUUAAUCGGAAUUACUGGGCGUAAAGCGCGCGUAGGCGGUCUGAUAAGCCGGUUGUGAAAGCCCCGGGCUCAACCUGGGAACGGCAUCCGGAACUGUCAGGCUAGAGUGCAGGAGAGGAAGGUAGAAUUCCCGGUGUAGCGGUGAAAUGCGUAGAGAUCGGGAGGAAUACCAGUGGCGAAGGCGGCCUUCUGGACUGACACUGACGCUGAGGUGCGAAAGCGUGGGUAGCAAACAGGAUUAGAUACCCCUGUAGUC